CCCCUUCGACCUUCAACUCAAUCAAAGAGUAUUUGAAAAAAAUUUAAAUACGAGACAGACACACUUGUUAGUACAACUACCCAGGAUAGGGCAGAAGAACAAUAUUUAUCAAGUAUAGUGGUUUAUAAAACAUUAAUUCAUUCUUUGCGUCCAUUAACAUCACCCCUAAUAAGCGGAUCCUCAAGUGUAAUUUUUCAUAAUUUGAUUACCAUCAUCAGACAGAAGGCAAAUUAAUAAACUGUUAUUUAAGCAUAAAGUCAGAACAGUUGCACUGCUGCAAGAACCUAGGGGUUAAUUACUAACAUCUCCCUGCUGGUGUGGAAUAAAGCACCAUAUUAACAAAAAAGGAUAAAAAUUAAAUAAAUUACAUAUAUAUAUAUAUAUAAAUAAAACGCCUAUAAAAGAGGUCCUUAGUUUGAUUAACACAUGUUGAUGCUUUUUUCCCCUCUCAUCUAUAUACUUGGACCAAUCUUGUGCACCCUUGUGGAUUGAAAAGAGCACAUUCUGACUGUUGCUAACACAGUAUAUAUUUACUCAUAACCAGCGUCAGUGCAUUAUGAAGGGCUCCAUAAAAUUACAUAGCAAAUAUAUCCAAAGAACGCUAAGCUAGAGUACAUCAUUACUUCUAUUUAUCAUUAUGAUGUUUUUUUAAGAAUUGUCCGUAUGGCUGCGACAUGAAUGGAUUUAAAAAAAAAAAAAAAAAGGGUUUCCUACGUCACUGGACCUUACAAAACCUGUUUUUUGGGUGUGAUUGCAUUCACAUUUUCAGCAAAACCAGACAAUGCUUCUCAGUUUAGUUAUUUGUAUUUGAGUGUAGAGCAUUCAGCCAGGAACCCAGUCUCUGAUAAAAGAACACUUGACUCUAGAGUCUAAAUCAACUAUGCAGCAGGGAGAUUUUAGGAAGUGACCCCCUUGAUUUAAUUCCUUUACAUUCAAAAACAUAUGCUGACAAUACAGGAAAACACAACCAGUUUCUCAGUUAAGAAUGAUGUACCGGAUAUAAAAUGGGUUGUAAUACAUUAUUGUUAUAAUGUACAGAUAAAAGGUAAUCGCGGCAGUGAUCCAAACCCCACCAUGGCUAUGGCCGGUACAAACCUAUGUUUCACUCUUCAAUAGUUACAGAAGUACAAUUAGCACAAAUGUCUACAAGUCAGAUUGCAAAACAGUUGCCUAUUUUGAGCAUAGACUAGUGGUUCUCAGAGUCUGUCCAAUCACAGUCAUGUUUGGGUAGCUGCAUUAGAAAAUGUACAACUCUUAAUAAUUGAAAACGGGUCUUUCUGUGUUUCUGUUGGAGUAUACUCUAGUAAUUGAUGAUGAUAAUGGAUUCAAGUAAGAGCGGGUGAGCUACACUAAAAUCCAGUUUACAGUCUGUGACGGGAGAGAUGUUGGUACAUUUGGCAUAUCUCAAUUUGCCACCAGCUCAUUAAUUAUUGGUCAUCUCUAGAUGGCAAAUCACUGAAAAUAAAUUGACAUGGUAGCCAAGAAGACAUCUAGGGAGUUCCAACGGUCAAUUAUCUUCUUGGAAGCAAAUAUUAAGGGAGUUAACCUCCCCACUCACGCAGUAACAAACAGCAGCGCAGUAUUGUCUACAUUUCUUGAACUAUUUUAAUUUAGGAUAUAGGAAUAUCGAAAGUGUCUCCAAUAAAUAUGUAAUUCCUUAAAGUUAAGUGAAGGAAAACAAGUUUGAGAUUUCAUAAAUCCUAGUUUAAAACCUUGUUCCAUCAACCAACAGGGCAGAACUUUUUAAAUUCUUGGCACACAAAUCACAAUGCAUACAAAAACCACUUGCAGUUUCUUAUAUUCACAUUUAACAGACAUUUAAAGCCAGUGGGGAAAAAAAAUCUAAUCACCAAAUUUACUAAAUAACAAGAUAAUUGAAAACAAUUCCAAUUCCAGAUGGAAAAAAAAUGUAUUUUUUUUGUAGAUAUGUUUAAAAUGUCCGAUACAAUAAAUAAUUAUUACAGUGAUUUCAGAGAGUCAGUAGCACUCAUACUUUGCACGUCGACAAAUGGAACACUGCAUUAGCCUGAAACAUCUGGAGGUGGCUUGAGAGUUGAAGAAUAGUUGUACGAACUGUCAAUCAUUGUUCCGUAUUUUGAAGUUUAAUGGGAAUGAGACAAAGACUGAAAAGUCACUCUACAGUUGUUAAAAAUGCAAUAGUAGGCCUACAUGUAGAACUGUCCAUCGACCUUGUGGGAAAACACUUCUUCAGAUAAUAAGGCCUAUAAAUAAAACUUUCACACUAAAUACAAAUGCACUUUUUUUAAUGUAAAAGUGAUGAUGCUGACUAACAGAUCCUGUAUGCAAGCCUCCGUGUAUUCUUACAGCAGACCAUCUCUGAACAAUGACAACUUCACAACCUUUUGUUGCAGCAUAUUUUACAAUGUACCAUGAUGGCUGAAAUAGUAAUACCCGUAAAAAAUUAAAUUAAACAUUAACAAAACCCAUACAAAAAGUGAGUGAUUGUACCUCCUAAAAACAAUUGCAUAGCUACAAGAAAUUAAAUUAUGGUGUCACUAUUUAGAACUGGUAAAAAACAAACAAACAUUGGGACACGUGUUAACCCUUUCAUCCCUGAGGAUUAUAGUAGUUUGCCUGUUCUUUAAAAGUGAUGUAAACGGGCAAGAAGUCAUAUUUACUAGUGAUUCUAAGACCAUGUUACCUAAAAACUAUAAAGACUACAUUAACAAAUUCCAUGCAGAUUGUAAUGUUUUUAUUUUGAUCAUAUCUCCUUUGAGUCCACCUAGACCUAUGGCAUUAAAGGUUAUAAUGGUCUAACACAGUCAUUCUUAACCCCAGUGCCACAUCCCAUAAUUUGGUGUCUAGUGGUUGGAGUAGCCACGUCACCAUCAGGUCCCAGGUAAUUGCACAUAACACAUUAACUGUAGCAGCCCUGCUUCCUGCGAUGCAAUUAAACAGUGGUACGCAACCCAGUCCCCAGAGCACACCACCAAUUGUCCAGUACAGUAUUUAUGCAUUUUUAAUAUCUUUUCCUAAUGGUAAUUCUGGACUGGUAGUAGAAGUCAUUGAAGACUAAUGGAAUAAGGACUCAUACUAUAAAUGAUUUAAUGUUGGGUUUUGCAAAAUGUAUUUUAAUAAUUAUACCUCAUCUACAGAAAGGAUCACUCAAUGAAUAUUGUAAGUGAAGAAUGAGUGUCUUACCUAAUGUAAUGUAUGUGAUUUAAGUCUUUAAACAAAAAAAGUCAAUAACCAUUGGUCUAUGAUGAUUUGGAACAACACAGUAAAUAUGGUAUAAAUAGGAGAGGCUAAAAUGCUGCAUUAAGGUUGGCACACCUUACAGAAGUUGUAACAGAAUGAAGUUAUUUUCACCCCUGUUGUAAGUGGCCCCUAUUAGAGGUUUGCAAGUUGCAAAGAUUAUUGCAAUAAAAUAAAUAUAUCACAACCAAAGACAUAGAAAAAGGGCAUAUUAUGUUCAAUUUAGCUGACGCACGUUUCUACAAGCCAAAAAGCAAAGCCAAACAAUUAUUUUAUUUGUAGAAUAGUAAGGCAGUAGUUUGUUCUAAUGUAAGCUCGUUUAGCUUACUCCUUGUUAUUCCUUACUCUAUAUCAUACAUAAAAUCUUCUCAUUCAUUUCAUAUUCCAUUGUUCUCUGCAGAAUAUGAUUCUUUUGAACAAAAACUAAUAAAAUCUGCAGAGCUUGUGCCCCAAAGAACAAUCAUAAGUGUUUACUCAGGACUUGGAGCUAGCAAGUCUUGCAGUAAAGUGUAGAGUGCAGAGGUAGCACUUUUGAAUAGCAAUACAUAUUCACCCUUUCUCCACCAACUCUUUCUAAGGCCUCCAAAUACAAGCACUAACUCUAAACAUUUAAGUAUCACUCCCACCUUCUCCCCUCUAUUCUGUCAUUCUGCUCCCGGCAACUGGUAAUGUCUCUCCAAACUCUGGACCCUCUUCCACUGACCUGCCUUGUGCCAACACCAGAAACCCCCGAACGGUUCGCCGUGGACGGCGAACAUAUGUGGUAAACUUUGACCCUGUACCUCACAGUCAGCAGACACAUUCCAGCCAGUCAGCAGCAGACCCUCCCUCCCAGACCCUCCCACCUCCUGGACAGCAUCCAUUUUACAUUCAUUGUGAAGCUGCAUUCUUAGUGAGCUGUCCAGGAGGUGGGAGGGUAUGGGAGGGAGGGUC